rnacentral:rRNA from 1 species
UCGGGAAUAUUGCGCAAUGGAGGAAACUCUGACGCAGUGACGCCGCGUAUAGGACGAAGGUCUUCGGAUUGUAAACUAUUGUCGUUAGGGAAGAAAAAGGACAGUACCUAAGGAGGAAGCUCCGGCUAACUACGUGCCAGCAGCCGCGGUAAUACGUAGGGAGCAAGCGUUAUCCGGAUUUAUUGGGUGUAAAGGGUGCGUAGACGGGUUGUUAAGUUAGUUGUGAAAUCCCUCGGCUCAACUGAGGAACUGCAACUAAAACUGGUAAUCUUGAGUGCUGGAGAGGAAAGCGGAAUUCCUAGUGUAGCGGUGAAAUGCGUAGAUAUUAGGAGGAACACCAGUGGCGAAGGCGGCUUUCUGGACAGUAACUGACGUUGAGGCACGAAAGUGUGGGGAGCAAACAGG